GUUGUUCAGAAUAAAGAGGAAAGCUGAAAUGUUUCUGCAUAUAACAAUGCAUGCUAAAUUACAUGUACAGAGCAUGUGGAUUUACAAAAUACACGAGUCUGUAGUGGCUCAUUGAAAAAAAGGCCCAUGAUGAGAAAAAAGGCCUUGAGGUUUUAACUUUAUCAGAAGAAAGAAGUUACAAUUUGAAGUUGUGUUCUAAUCCACCUGUGGGGUAGCACAUAGUGCAUGAAGUUGUUUGCCAGAGCCCACAAUAAUGAAGCACAUUCCAAAGCUUUGGAGGACACAGUUAAGAAAGUUGCAUCACAAAGAUUUCACCUAUCAAACUUGAAGCCAACACAAAGCUGUGCCUGUGAACAGGCAGAAUAACAGCCUCACUUACCUGGUGAUCCUGCUGUCAUGAAAAAUGAAAAUGUUUCCUGAAAACUGCUUUCCUAGUUGAAGAAGUCAUAAACAGUUAAAAUGAGCUGAGAAGACACCAGAAGCCAUAAAUUGGCAGCCAUGUCUGUCUUUGUUAAUGCAUGCACCUGGACUUUGUGAGGAAUAAAUAUUUUAGCAGAGGAAACUGCCACUCUGAACUGCAAAACCCUCCUUUCUUCUUCUUCUUCACCCCAAAGGAACAUUUGCAAGUGCUCCCACAGAAAUGAUUGAAUAGUUGAAGCUGUACAAAUACCUGCUCGUCCUGGUAAGCCUGGCCAGCCGGGAGUUCCCUUUUCACCUGGAAAUCCAGGUGUCCCAGGGCUUCCUUGUUGCCCUGGGGGGCCAACCAGUCCUGGCAAACCUGUGUGGCAACAAUGAAUCAUUGCUCAUGAUCAUCCUUAAAACCAACAGCCCAAACAGAGACUUGUGCUACUUUCAUUUUCCCAGGCAGCAAAAUGAAGACUUUCCCUUCCUAAUCUCAUUGUGACUGCUCAUCCAAGUGCAAGAAAACUAAAGAGAGCACAGGUAGGAGGGACAAAGUACAAAAGAACAACUCAUUACAAACUUCAGGUUUGUGACAACCUCAGAAAGACAGUGAGCUCCUCCUAUUAAAAUGAUAACUUGACUUAUAUUGCGAGUUACAAGAAGAGAUUUCACUGCUGUGCAUGUCACUUUCCCUUUCUGCUGUACCUGUUUUGCCUUUCCCACUGAGAAGCUGUUCACACAAGAACUGUUUCCCAGCAAGGCACAUAUCAGAACUCUUCCAGUCUUGGCUGGAGUUUCUAAGCCCUCUAAUGAGAGAAGUGUGGAGCAACUGUUCUGAACGAGCAUUUCCAUGAUCCUCCUACAGUAAGACAUGUUCUUAAGCCCUGAGUGUAUGAUCCAGCCACAACUUAACCUGACUUGGCUUCUCUUGUACAGUUGGCCCAUCAGCCUGGCACAAAGGCUCUGUAACUGUCCUGGGGGAUACUGACUUCAUUUAUGGCAGAAAAGGUCAUUGAAAAGCCCACUCCUUGUAGUACUGAGACAUCAGAAUACUUGAGUUUGCCAUCAAUACAACACUUUGGACACAUGGUUACUACAGAGAAGGAAAAACAGGUAUGAAGUAGAGUUAGGUUUUUGCUAUUUCCUCUUCUGCCAUGAGUUCCACAUCCUUGUCACUGCUCCUCACCAAUUUACAGAAUGAUGAACAUAUUAAAAGACUUAAUUACUUUCUUUUGAUGGAAAGAAUAUUUUUUUCCCUCUCUUAAACAAUGUUAUUCUUUGGAGUGUUAAAAAGAAUAUUUUACCUUCCUGUCCCACAGAGCCAGGGACACCCUGUGUGCCCUUGAGACCUUCAAUGCCAGGGAAACCAGGAUCACCACCUUCUCCUUUUGGUCCCACACCUCCUCUUAUGCCUGGAAAACCACAAAACCAGUAUAUUCUUUUCAUAAUAUCUAUACAACCUUAAACAAAUAAGCAUAACAUGAACUUGGCUAAUGAAUGGGUCCUGGUCUUGCCACAUAAAGACAUUCUUCUAGUCAGGGUGCUUACACAACCUGGGAGCAUGAACAGUCCUCUGGUCAAAUGAUCAUUAUAGUUUUUUUUAAAGGACUCCCCAAAUGAUGUGGAAUAUGACAUGGAUGUUCAAGUAUGCUGCAUGUAGAGGGAAAUUUAACACAUUACUGACAACUCGAUCCAAAAUCUACAAGACUUUGCUAUCUCACCUUCUACAAUCGUGGCCUGAUAAUGCUCCUUUUGUCAUCAACAACAAAACAAAUCAUAUAGAAAUGUUUACUGGAGCUGCCUGUGAUGAUGCCUGUUUACUGCUAUAAUGGUACUUUCAGUUGAAGAGGUAAAUGCAGCACAUAUUAAUUUCAAUAAAGAACAGAUUAACCUCUC